rnacentral:rRNA from 1 species
AGAGUUUGAUCCUGGCUCAGGAUGAACGCUAGCGACAGGCUUAACACAUGCAAGUCGAGGGGCAGCGGGGGCGAAGCUUGCUUCGCCUGCCGGCGACCGGCGCACGGGUGAGUAACACGUAUGCGACCUGCCCCCCGCAGGGGGAUAACCGGGAGAAAUCCCGACUAAUACCGCGUAACGCCGCUGGGCUGCAUGGCCCGGCGGCCAAAGGAAGCGAUUCCGGCGGGGGAUGGGCAUGCGGCGCAUUAGCUAGUCGGCGGGGUAACGGCCCACCGAGGCGACGAUGCGUAGGGGUUCUGAGAGGAAGGUCCCCCACACUGGUACUGAGACACGGACCAGACUCCUACGGGAGGCAGCAGUGAGGAAUAUUGGUCAAUGGGCGGGAGCCUGAACCAGCCAAGUCGCGUGAGGGAAGACGGUCCUACGGAUUGUAAACCUCUUUUGCCGGGGAGCAACGGGGUCCUUGCGAGGGCCCGAUGAGAGUACCCGGAGAAAAAGCAUCGGCUAACUCCGUGCCAGCAGCCGCGGUAAUACGGAGGAUGCGAGCGUUAUCCGGAUUUAUUGGGUUUAAAGGGUGCGUAGGCGGGCUGUUAAGUCAGCGGUCAAAUGUCGGGGCUCAACCCCGGCCUGCCGUUGAAACUGGCGGCCUCGAGUGGGCGAGAAGUAUGCGGAAUGCGUGGUGUAGCGGUGAAAUGCAUAGAUAUCACGCAGAACUCCGAUUGCGAAGGCAGCAUACCGGCGCCCGACUGACGCUGAGGCACGAAAGCGUGGGUAUCGAACAGGAUUAGAUACCCUGGUAGUCCACGCAGUAAACGAUGAAUGCUAGCUGUCCGGUUCUACGGGACUGGGUGGCACAGCGAAAGCGUUAAGCAUUCCACCUGGGGAGUACGCCGGCAACGGUGAAACUCAAAGGAAUUGACGGGGGCCCGCACAAGCGGAGGAACAUGUGGUUUAAUUCGAUGAUACGCGAGGAACCUUACCCGGGCUCAAACGCCAAAGGACAGCCGCUGAAAGGCGGCCUCCCUCCGGGGUCUUUGGCGAGGUGCUGCAUGGUUGUCGUCAGCUCGUGCCGUGAGGUGUCGGCUUAAGUGCCAUAACGAGCGCAACCCCCAUCGACAGUUGCUAACGGGUGGAGCCGAGGACUCUGUCGAGACUGCCGGCGCAAGCUGCGAGGAAGGCGGGGAUGACGUCAAAUCAGCACGGCCCUUACGUCCGGGGCGACACACGUGUUACAAUGGCCGGUACAGCGGGAUGCCAGGGCGCGAGUCCGAGCGGAACCCGAAAACCGGUCUCAGUUCGGAUUGGAGUCUGCAACCCGACUCCAUGAAGCUGGAUUCGCUAGUAAUCGCGCAUCAGCCACGGCGCGGUGAAUACGUUCCCGGGCCUUGCACACACCACCCGUCA